GAUGAACGCUGGCGGCGUGCCUAAUACAUGCAAGUCGAGCGAACAGACGAGGAGCUUGCUCCUCUGACGUUAGCGGCGGACGGGUGAGUAACACGUGGAUAACCUACCUAUAAGACUGGGAUAACUUCGGGAAACCGGAGCUAAUACCGGAUAAUAUAUUGAACCGCAUGGUUCAAUAGUGAAAGACGGUUUUGCUGUCACUUAUAGAUGGAUCCGCGCCGCAUUAGCUAGUUGGUAAGGUAACUGCUUACCAAGGCGACGAUGCGUAGCCGACCUGAGGGGGUGAUCGGCCACACGGGAACUGAGACACGGUCCAGACUCCUACGGGAGGCAGCAGUAGGGAAUCUUCCGCAAUGGGCGAAAGCCUGACGGAGCAACGCCGCGUGAGUGAUGAAGGUCUUCGGAUCGUAAAACUCUGUUAUUAGGGAAGAACAAAUGUGUAAGUAACUAUGCACGUCUUGACGGUACCUAAUCAGAAAGCCACGGCUAACUACGUG
rnacentral:rRNA from 1 species